GACAGAGGGUGCGAACGUUGCUCGGAAUCACUGGGCGUAAAGCGCGUGUAGGCGGGCAAGCAAGUCAGAUGUGAAAUCCCUGGGCUCAACCCAGGAACUGCACCUGAAACUGCUUGUCUAGAGUAUUGGAGAGGAAAGCGGAAUUCCUGGUGUAGAGGUGAAAUUCGUAGAUAUCAGGAGGAACACCGGUGGCGAAGGCGGCUUUCUGGACAGUUACUGACGCUGAGACGCGAAAGCGUGGGGAGCAAACAGG
rnacentral:rRNA from 1 species